rnacentral:rRNA from 1 species
GGAUUAGAUACCCUGGUAGUCCUAGCUGUAAACGAUGGGCACUAGGUACUGGGGAUUACCGACAUUCUCAGUGCUGUAGCAAAUGUAUUAAGUGCCCCGCCUGGGGAGUAUGCUCGCAAGGGUGAAACUCAAAGGAAUUGACGGGGGCUCACACAAGCGGUGGAGCAUGUUGUUUAAUUCGAGACUACGCGAAGAACCUUACCUGGGCUUGAAAUGGUAGGGAUAACUCCUGUGAAAGCAGGGGGAUUGCUCUUCGGAGUGUAACCUACCACAGGUGCUGCAUGGCUGUCGUCAGCUCGUGCUG